UACAGAGGGUGCGAGCGUUAAUCGGAUUUACUGGGCGUAAAGCGUGCGCAGGCGGUUCGUUGUGUCGGCGGUGAAAGCCCCGGGCUUAACCUGGGAAUGGCCGUUGAAACUGGCGAACUGGAGUGUGGCAGAGGGGGGUGGAAUUCCGCGUGUAGCAGUGAAAUGCGUAGAGAUGCGGAGGAACACCGAUGGCGAAGGCAGCCCCCUGGGCUAACACUGACGCUCAGGCACGAAAGCGUGGGGAGCAAACAGG
rnacentral:rRNA from 1 species